UAGGGUGACUGGUGUCCUGGUUUGCCUGGGACUGAGACAUUUCCUGGGAGGUAAGCCUUUCAGUGCCAUAACCUGGACAGUC
rnacentral:pre_miRNA from 14 species